UCAUGUCAAAUGACUUAAUUUUCUAACUGAUAGCUAAGUAAGUAGGUUUAACCAAAAUUUCAUGAGCUCAGAUUUUCUUUAGAUCAGGGCUUGCUAGUUUUAGCACCAGCUUAAUUUAUUGGCAGUAAAACAAUUGUCUCUCUAGGUUUGAGGUUUGUUAUAAGGAGACAUAGAAUUGUGAGUCAAAAGUUAGAUAAUCUAAACGGGGUGUCAUUUGGACCCAAAACCCCUUAGCCCGAUUUACAAAUAGCCCAAAGGGACCUAACAAUUUGAAAAUUCUAGAAACCUUAGAGGUUUCUGGAACAUGCUAGGGCCACAGCCAACCGCUCCCACGAGUGGUCUUUCACAAACGGCCUCGCCACGUCUGCAAUGAUUUCCAGCGCAACACUGCCACGUCCACAGCCCCACGCUUCCGUACGGCCUUAGAACUUGUGAGAAUAAGCAGUAGAAACAGUACCAAUAACAGAAAUAGGUCAGCAAAUGUAUAGAAAAAUCGUGAUUUAUAUUUUUUAUUUUAUUCUGUAAAUUGGCUAAAAAAGGCCGAGAGAAUCAGUGUAAAUUGAUUACGCAUGCAAAUCGAAUACAAAGAAAUCAAUCAAACUUUUUAAAGGUGAUUUCUGAUUUAAGUUUCUUUAAGUUUUUGAGUUUUCUUUCGGUUUAUUUCUUGAGGUCUUUCGUUAUUGCAUUUGAAAACAAAAAAAAGGAGUCUUACCUUACGAAGUUGCCAUGGAUUCCGAAAGGGGAUCUCGAGGCUAAAAAACAUCCCUCAAAGCUUGAAGGCACUGGUAGCCGUUUAUGGAGGUAGAUCGGUGUUUGAAGGAAGGGAUUUAGGGUCUGCUAGUUGAAAAGAAAGGGGGCUAGGGUUGGUUCGGCCGAAUAGAUUUAUUUGGCUUGGUUUUAGC
rnacentral:lncRNA from 1 species